rnacentral:lncRNA from 1 species
AUUUAUUAAAAGAAAUCCAAGGACGGACAAUUGUACAGAAUAAUUUGGAAGCCAAAAAGAGAGGCCAAGAAAAUAUUGUUGCUCCUUUCUAUUUCAAUGACGUCUCUCAACACAAAGUCGCAAGUUUCAGCCUCUACUAUCAAGUAGUCUUCCUUGAUGUUUCUAAUAAUUUAAAUGGUUACAAUACAAAAUCUAUUAUGCUUUCAGAUUCUCUUGUAAGGAGGAAGCUAAUUACUCCAGACAAUCAAAACUAAAGCUCCUAAUGAAAGAGAAUCAAUUAGCUGCUCAGUCAAGAUCAUUAUUCUUAAGGUGUUGCUGGAAGUUGUAUGCCCGUACCUGUCGACUGUUAAGAGGUAUGGAGAACCAGAAAAAGAGAAAUUCCAUGAAACUAAUCAUACUUGUCUCUUCACGGAUCCUGCCUCUGAGCAAUCUCGGUCUGCCGAAGAUGAAUACCUUACAUGGCAGGAGUAGAAUGUUGACUUUGUCUGGCUUUAUUAGUUAACUUUACGUAGCAGGUUUGGCCAUGAGAACCGAU